CACGGGGGAGCAAGCGUUGUUCGGAUUCAUUGGGCGUAAAGGGUGCGUAGGCGGCGCGGUAAGUCGGGUGUGAAAUCUUGGAGCUUAACUCCGAAACCGCAUUCGAUACUGCCGUGCUUUGAGGACUGGAGAGGAGACUGGAAUUUACGGUGUAGCGGUGAAAUGCGUAGAUAUCGAGAGGAACACCUGCGGCGAAAGGCGGGUUGCUGGGCUGACACUGACGCUGAUGCGCGAAAGCCAGGGAGCGAAACGGG
rnacentral:rRNA from 1 species